CUACGGGCGGCUGCAGUUAAGGAAAUUUUACAAUGCUCGAAAGAGUGAUAAAAUAAACCAGAGUGUUUCUCUUAGAGAAACUUUUGUCUGAUGUAAAAAGUCAGACGAAUAAGGACUGGGCCAGACCGGUGCCAGCCGCCGCGGUAAUACCGGCGGUCCAAGUCGCAUCCACAUUUAUUGGGUCUAAAACAUUCGUAGCUUGUUUUGUAAGUCUCUUGUGAAAUCUCAUGUCUCAAGCAUGAGACGGGCAAGAGAUACUGCAUUACUAGAGACCGGAAGACGCAAAGAGUACGAUUAAGGUAGCGGUAAAAUGUGUUAAUCUUGAUUGGACUAACAACGGCGAAGGCACUUUGCGAGUACGGAUCUGACAGUGAGGGAUGAAGGCCAGGGGCGCAAAAGGGAUUAGAUACCCGCGUAGUC
rnacentral:rRNA from 1 species